UCUUAUGAAUAAGCAAGGAAAAUGGUUUCUGAGAUGGAAUCUACUCCUGGUGAAGAUGCUGUGAA
rnacentral:pre_miRNA from 1 species